rnacentral:rRNA from 1 species
AGAGUGGCGGACGGGUGAGUAACACGUGGGCAACCUGCCCAACAGAGGGGGAUAACACUUGGAAACAGGUGCUAAUACCGCAUAAUUUGUUUUCCCGCAUGGGAGAAUAAUAAAAGACGCUUCGGUGUCACUGUUGGAUGGGCCCGCGCUGCAUUAGUUAGUUGGUGGGGUAAUGGCCUACCAAGACCGUGAUGCAUAGCCGACCUGAGAGGGUGAUCGGCCACACUGGGACUGAGACACGGCCCAG